rnacentral:rRNA from 1 species
GAUGAACGCUGGCGGCGUGCUUAACACAUGCAAGUCGAACGGGAAUUAUUUUAUUGAAACUUCGGUCGAUUUAAUUUAAUUCUAGUGGCGGACGGGUGAGUAACGCGUGGGUAACCUGCCUUAUACAGGGGGAUAACAGUCAGAAAUGGCUGCUAAUACCGCAUAAGCGCACACAGCUGCAUGGCUCAGUGUGAAAAACUCCGGUGGUAUAAGAUGGACCCGCGUUGGAUUAGCUUGUUGGCAGGGUAACGGCCUACCAAGGCGACGAUCCAUAGCCGGCCUGAGAGGGUGAACGGCCACAUUGGGACUGAGACACGGCCCAGACUCCUACGGGAGGCAGCAGUGGGGAAUAUUGCACAAUGGGGGAAACCCUGAUGCAGCGACGCCGCGUGAAGGAAGAAGUAUCUCGGUAUGUAAACUUCUAUCAGCAGGGAAGAUAGUGACGGUACCUGACUAAGAAGCCCCGGCUAACUACGUG